UGGGGAAUUUUGGACAAUGGGCGAAAGCCUGAUCCAGCAAUGCCGCGUGUGUGAAGAAGGCCUUCGGGUUGUAAAGCACUUUUGUCCGGAAAGAAAUCCUUGGUUCUAAUAUAGCCGGGGGAUGACGGUACCGGAAGAAUAAGCACCGGCUAACUACGUGCCAGCAGCCGCGGUAAUACGUAGGGUGCGAGCGUUAAUCGGAAUUACUGGGCGUAAAGCGUGCGCAGGCGGUUUGCUAAGACCGAUGUGAAAUCCCCGGGCUCAACCUGGGAACUGCAUUGGUGACUGGCAGGCUAGAGUAUGGCAGAGGGGGGUAGAAUUCCACGUGUAGCAGUGAAAGUGCGUAGAGAUGUGGAGGAAUACCGAUGGCGAAGGCAGCCCCCUGGGCCAAAUACUGACGCUCAUGCACGAAAGCGUGGGGAGCAAAACAGGAUUAGAUACCCUGGUAGUCCACGCCCUAAACGAUGUCAACUAGUUGUUGGGGAUUCAUUUCCUUAGUAACGUAGCUAACGCGUGAAGUUGACCGCCUGGGGAGUACGGUCGCAAGAUUAAAACUCAAAUGAAUUGAC
rnacentral:rRNA from 1 species